GCGAGCGUUAAUCGGAAUUACUGGGCGUAAAGCGCAUGCAGGUGGUUUGUUAAGUUCAGAUGUGAAAGACCCGGGGCGUCAACCUCCGGAAUUAGCAUUUGUAAACUAGGCAAACUAAGAGUACUGUAGAGGGGGGUAGGAAUUUCAGGUGUAGCGGUGAAAUGCGUAGAGAUCUGAAGGAAUACCGGUGGCGAAGGCGGCCCCCCUCGGACAGAUACUGACACUCAGAUGCGAAAGCGUGGGGAGCAAACAGGAUUAGAUACCCCUGGUAG
rnacentral:rRNA from 1 species